GACGAACGCUGGCGGCGUGCUUAACACAUGCAAGUCGAACGAAAAGGGCCGGCUUUUGGGGGCUGCUCGACUUGCGAACGGGUGAGUAACACGUGAGUAACCUGCCCGUGACUUAGGGAUAACUUCAGGAAACUGGGGCUAAUACCGCCUACGAACGACCGCUUCAUGGUGGGGGGGGGAAAGGUUCGGUGGUUUGGAAUGGACACGGGGCACAUCAGCUUGGUGGUGGGGUAGUGGCUUACGAUGGCUUGGACGGGUAGCCGGCCUGCGAGGGUGACCGGCCACAUUGGGCCUGGGAUGCGACCCGGACUCCAACGGGAGGCAGGGGUGGAGGAUAGUGCACGAUACGCGGAGGGCUGGUGCAGCACCGCCGCGUGGGGGAUGACGGCCAUCGGGUAGUAAACCGCUUUCGCCUGAGACGGAGCGUGAGUGACGGUAAUGGGAGAAGAAGCCCCGGCUAACUACGUG
rnacentral:rRNA from 1 species